AGAAAAUCAGCAAAAAUGGAGGAAAGAACAAGGUUCAACAAGUCCUUGGUGCCUUUAACCACAGUCUAGGCUUGUGAAGGGGAGGGAAAUGAAGGGAACUACCUUUGAUACCUCGUAAAAACUUGGUAAACGUCGAAAAAAUAGAUCGAAAAAGCUGAGGAGGAAACUGAUGAAUCUUUGGUUUCGGGCUUAAGGAUUGUGAGUGUAGCGAGUUCCAACGUCAAUUUAACAAAUUUCAAGUCGUUUUUUCUUGAUGCUUUCUAAAGAAAAUAUUUCCCUUUACUGACGUAGUUUUCUCAGAAAAAGAAAUCUUCUCACGAGAAGCCUCCUUGAAGCCAAUA
rnacentral:lncRNA from 1 species